AUGGACCCUGACCUGUUUGCUGUGGAAAAGGAAAAGUAUCUUGCUUCUCUGUGUGAGGUGCACGAUUCCUCAGAUCCGUGGUACUUCUGGAUGAUUAUGCUCAAGAAUGGAAACUUUGAGAAAAAUACUACCCUUUGUCCUGAGAAUGGCAAGAAUGUCGGUAAAAUCAUAACAAAGCGAAAUUUUCCAUGCUUCGGUGAGGGGUAUAUGAAUCAACCACUUGUAUACCAUAAUUAUACAAGAUUGGUUUCUUCAGGGGACCAAAUAGAGUCUUUAACAGGAGGAUUUUAUGGAACAUAUGACCUUGAUGCCAAUUUAAGCAAAGGUGUAGGAAAUAAAUCAUACUUCUCGGUCACAUGGCAGAAGAAUUUGAGCACAGGAAGUUGGGUUUUCUCAUAAAGAUUAACAACAUCUUCAAAGUAUCCUUGGCUUAUGUUGUAUCUACGUGCAGAUGCAACUGAAGGAUUUAAUGGAGGUUAUCACUACAGUGGCCGUGGAAUCAUAAGAAAGUUGCUAGAAUCUCCAAACUUCAAGGUAAAGGAGACACUUGAUGUCAAACAAGGAGGAGGGCCUAACAGUCAAUUUUAUCUUCUUGAUAUAGGAAGCUAUUGGAAGAACAAGGGAGAUCCAUGUGAUGGUGAUGUUCUGACAGAUGUGACUAGAUACAGCGAAAUGAUAAUAAAUCCAGCUACUACAAGCUGGUGCCAUGCUGAUAACCUGGUCUCCUGCCCGCCUUACCAUGUUAGUCGUACUGGUGAGAAAAUAUACAGAAAUGAGACAUCUCAGUUUCCAUAUUCUUCUUAUCAUCUCUACUGCACCCCAGGAAAUGCCAAUUAUCUGGAGGAACCAUAUGAUAUCUAUGAUCCAUACAGCAAUCCACAGGCACAGGAAUUGGUGCAAAUUCUGCCACAUCCUGAAUGGGCUGUGCAUGGAUAUCUUGAAAAGCAAGGAGAUGGAUGGUUUGGAGACUUUAGCACUUGGGUGCUUGAUGUGGGUGCUCUACCUAGUCGAUUAUACUUCUACCAGGAUCCAGGAACUGAACCAGCAAGGUGUGUAUGGUCUUCAAUUAAUGUUGGUAUAGAGAUAUAUGUUAAUAGCACAGGGAUGACUGCAGAAUGAUCUGUCAGUGAUUUUGAUAUACUGGUUCUUGAAGAUGUUGCUAGCUCUGGUGUUAGCUUUGAUUGA